ACCUGAACUCAUAAUUGUUCUUUCAAGAGUCGCUUUUUCUUUUUGAUUGAAAGAUUUGUCUUAGAAUAAUUACUUAUCUUAACUGCUCACUUAAUAAUGAUUCUAGGUAGAGAAGUUGCGAAACUUUGAUGCUUAGACUUCCUUCAGGACCUAAUAUAUGAUAGUUUGGUAAUUUUUCAUGAUAUGUGGCAAACUACGACCCUAUUGGCAUGUUUGAAGUAGCAAUCAUACUAUUCAUUUUGUUUUUCUUGUUUGAAGAACUUCUUUGACCCUAUUGGCUUGGACAAACAUACAUUCUGCUUGAAGCUCAGACACUAACCAGCAAUGACCAUUGUUAAAAGUAAUCUUUAUUUCUUACUCAUGCCAUUGGAACUUUCCUUUCCUUGGCCUUUAAUUUGUGGUUUCUAACAUCUUGACCUACUUGCAGCUUAGGUGUUCUUACUUGUUAGAACCAUUUGAAAAUUGAUGAUAAAAAGACCUGCAUAAUUAUGAUGAUGUUAAAAUGGUUGCGAUUCGCAAAUUUAAGCAUUAUCAAUGUAUGUGAAGUAUCUGCGGUUCAAUUUUUGAUCAAGCACUUGCACCCAAGUUUUUUCACUUCUGUGGUAAGUGAUUCAUUUCUCCUUUUCAUAGAAAUGUUGUGUUCUGAUUUUCUUGUUUCAAUUGGCUGCAUGUAAGUUAGUUUGUCUUCCACGAAGAGUAUGAUCUCUUCUUCUUUUUUUCUCCUUUUUCAAGGCAAAAAGAGGCAUAUGUCUAUUAAACUAAUCAAGUUAUUUUCUCGAUUUCUUUUCUUUCUCAUUUAUUCUAAGUGUCCACAUAAUAGGACUAGCGGAGGCACAGUUUAUUUGAUUUUUCACAUUGGAAUUGCAUUACUUCUCCUGUGUGACCCUAGUAUUUAUACCUUUUUAUAGGCAUCAUAGUGUUCAAGCUUCCUUUUUUUUCUUGCAAUUUGUUAUUAAUCUUAUCUCACAUAAUUAUACUGUGGUAUGCUGAAGGCGAAACAGGAAAUUUCUAGACAGGGCACAAUCUCAAAAUUCACCUUUCAAAAGCAUAUUUAGCAUCGACUUACACUCCUUGGUAGGGGCUAGAGUGAUUUGUUGCAGGUUGGGAUAAAUUGAUAGUCACUCAACCUAAAGCUUAUUUGUAAAACUGAAAUAAGUAUACCAAGCUUGACGAUUGGAUCUGCAGCAUCGAAAAGACUGAACUGGUUGAUAUGUUAAUAUUUUGUUUCUUGCUUAAAAAGCGAGGAGUCAGGAGAUUGAGCAAACAUACUGUUGCCUUCAUAAGAUGUAACUUAGAAACACAAAGCAUUAGACUGAGAUAAGCUUACCGGUAACACCUUCUUUUUCUUUCUUUCUUUCUUUUUCUUCUUUUUCAAGAAGGAGAAGAUAAGUAUAUGGUGAGGAAAAUCCACUUAUAUCAGGACAAGGCAACAGGGUAUUAUGAAUCAGUGAUGAAAUCAAUGCCUCCUGCUGCCAAUUUGUUGAAGGAAUAUUUGAGUGUAGAAGAGUUCCAUUCUGUCCUCUACAUGGCAUCUUUUUUCUGGAAUGGAGGCCACAAUUGAGUAUCACUUGUAGCCUCGUCAUGCAGAUGGAGGGAUAACAAUUCCAACUGAGAAAGGGAUCAAGCCCGCUGAACCAGAUGGAUGUAUCAAAAUUUUAUCAGCAUUGCUCGAAUUCAAUUGGUACUGAGGUGAGUGCAGCAAUGAAAGAAUUCUGUAUCAGUGGGAAAUAUGCUGAAAGCAAUUAAUGAUUCGUCUCUUUCAUUAGUUUCUAUAGUUAAAGCUCCAAACGUUUUGCAGGAUUCUCCCCUAUUGCCUGUUGCAUUGAAAUAUGUAAAUGCAUAUCUAGGGUAUAUUCAAAUAGAAUACAGAAGGCGAUUAAGAAUUUGGUUCAGUUUGCACUAUAAGGAAUUGAAAAUUUGCUAAUAUUCAAUAGACUCAAGAAUUGCUUCAAAAUUAUCACAGGGCUCAAAUUCCUUCAAAAGCAACUAUCAAGAUAGAUUUGCUGGUAGCAUACAACUCAAUUCUUAAAGAUAUCAAGAUACAACUCACUGCUAAGAAGGUAUUUGACUUCUUUUCAAAAUUCAAAUAAUUGAAGAACUCUAGGUUUGCAGAUGACCUCUUACUCUUUUGUGAUGAGAAUUUAACUAACUCAGGAUUUUGCUAUUCAAAUCAGAAGCUUUGUGGGUUUGUUGGAUUGUCAGAAUAUGGUUAAAGGAUCAAUAUAUUUAGAGUGUUAAAACUAUUUUAUGCCAGUCUACAUGUGUCUUGCUAGUGUUGCUUUGUCAGGGUAAACAGUUGGAGUCAUAUGGUCUAAUUAUAAAUAAAUAUUGCCUCUGUUUUGCGUAUGUAUUUUUCUCUUGCAACAGAUGGCUAAUCUGACAAACAUUCAAGAAUGCUGGAAUAGGGGUUUGACUGUUCUACAAUAAGGUCCUAGCAUUGGAAACAAAAAUGAGCUGAUAAGUCACAUUCGCAGAUGACAGCUCCUGCAUGUUCUGAAGACAACAAGAAGAAUGUAGUAACACGAAGACAUGA